GACGAACGCUGGCGGCGUGCUUAACACAUGCAAGUCGAACGGAAAGGCCCUGCUUUUGUGGGGUGCUCGAGUGGCGAACGGGUGAGUAACACGUGAGUAACCUGCCCUUGACUUUGGGAUAACUUCAGGAAACUGGGGCUAAUACCGGAUAGGAGCUCCUGCUGCAUGGUGGGGGUUGGAAAGUUUCGGCGGUUGGGGAUGGACUCGCGGCUUAUCAGCUUGUUGGUGGGGUAGUGGCUUACCAAGGCUUUGACGGGUAGCCGGCCUGAGAGGGUGACCGGGGGGGGCGGGAGUGAGGGGCGCGCGGGCAUGGGGGGGGGGGAGGGGGUGGGGGUGAUGGCACGGGGGGGGGAGGCGUGGGGAGGCGGCGGUGGGUGGGGGAGGAGGGCGCGGGGGGUGGACACCGCGCGGGGUUGUGACGGGGGGGGAGGGCGGUUAGUGGGGAAGGAAGCACCGGCUAACGACGGGCCAGCGGCCGGGGUAACAUUGGGAGGAGAACACGUCUGAAC
rnacentral:rRNA from 1 species